CAUGACAUAAUGCUGUUUAACUAAAGCAACAUUGACUCCUCUAGCCUUUAUUUAUUUAAUGUGAUCCUGGUGAUAAGACCUGCAAACAGACCUGGCUCACAAGAUCUUUCUACAUAUGGCAAUGAUACAGCCGCGAUGUGACACAGCACUGUGGGGUUAUAUUUAGCUGUACCUUUGUCAUUAGAAGCCUGUGUUUAUAUCAUUCAUAUCAAGUUCAGCAGGUCUGUGUCCUCUUGUCGGGGUGCUACGUGCCGUACGAGAUCAUGCUAUACCUGCUGCCCGGUCCGAGGCGAUGAGAAGACCAGCAUAAAGUAGAUUUCACCCAGACAGUGCUAUGAUUCAUCCAUAAAAUAACAACAAGCUGGCAGGGGGAGAUGAGGACAUCAAAGAGCAGAUAAGGUCUGACCCGCAGUGGGUUCAGAUUUUAUCUAGAUGUUGUUCAAGUGUGAUGGACGAGUCUAAGCUGAGUGGAUUGACUGAAAGCUGUCCAUUGUUUGGUGUCUGGAGCCUCUUGUCAUCAUUCUCUAUAAACAACAGCAGAAAUGCACCUAAGUUCCUGCUGUAUCACUUAACCAAGUACUCCACGAGAUUUCUCCAUAUUGCUUUUUAUGUGCCCAAGAAUAAUGAAAUUCAUCUGCUUCCACCAGCGCUGGUUCUGGAAACUUUUGGAGUCCCCUGUGAAAGAGGCCCAGUCAGUUCCACAUGCAGACGUCCCGCGGAGACCAGAGGAUUAUGUUGAAGAAAGUCGCGUGGAGAUGGAGAUGAAGAGAAAGCAGAUAUCUGCGCUCAUAAAUGUUCUUUGUUGACACAAUCCACAGCAGUCUUACCCACAUUUAUAGCUGUGUUUUACUGGCUUGCUGAUAUAGACAAGUAUCAGUAAUGAGUUUAAAAUACACUCACCAGGACACACACACACAUAGCUUUUCAUGGCGAGCGUAAUAACAUUCUGGUAUGUUUUGAAAGUUUUAUGAGGUAGGCCAAAUAAGACUUCAGGCCAGAGAUGUUAUCUAAAUGAAAGUUUAAACACGGAUAUAUAGUGGCUUCCUCACAGCACCUACUGUAGUUAAAUACAUUACAGUACAUUAGUCAAUAUGGACAUUUGUCCCCAACAUAAUGAACCUAGCUAUAACUAGGGCGGGACCCUUUCAAAAAAAAGUUCACCUUUUCACCUAAAGAGUUCAUAUUAGUACCUCAUAGGUACAUAUUGGUACCAAAUGUAAGCAUAUCUGUACCUAAAUGGUAAUAAUAUUUUUGAAUACACAGCUUUGUCUGCCAGUUUAACAUUGUUCAGUCCGUGCGUGUUUGUGUGUACUAGCGUGUAGUGUUCUCCGUAGCUAAAGAUCUAAGCGAGAGGAUAAGAGCAGUAAGAAUAGGGUGUUAGGUAUCUGUGAAAUCUGUGAGGUCAGCCCAGCGCUCAGAGAAAAGCUCCACCUGGACCUGAGUUGAGCCGCCACCGCCCACUUUAUGGCCUGUGAAAUGCUGGACAGGAGAGCAGGUCACUGGAGAGACAGAGAUGACAGAGCCCAGGGACUGAGAUAAGAGGGUCAGGGGUGUAGAGGUCACAAUUCAGGGGGCGUGCUCAUCAACAACACAUGGAGAGGAUAAAGAGAGUCUGGUUUCUAUAAACCAUGAGUAAGAGUGUUGUAAUUUACAAGCCUCCAGAAAUCCAGUCUAAAACUUUAUGCCACUCCCUCGGAGAGGAUGAUAGGAAGGAGAUGCUGUAACAGAUCUCUCUGUGUGUGUGUAUAAAGAGGACAAGUUGUCCAUUGUAAAAUAAUUUAAGCCCUGAAGAAAAUACAGUGCUGUUAAAAAUAUGUUUAAAGUGAUAUACACUCACAUCGGUUGAAUCAAGUUACCCCAGUAAAGUUUAAUUUUGUGGGUGAAGUAUUCUUUUAAAUUAGCUUAACACCUAAACAACUGGCAGUUUUAGUUACAAAUUCGAUUAGUCAUAAGUGAUAUACUGUUUGAAGAGCUCAGGUGCAAAACCCUCUAAGUGCAUCUGACAUGUUUUCUUGUAAAUUAGCAUUUUUAUCAGGCUCUUAUGAUUAAGUUCAAUCAUUUCUCUUUAAUGCCAAUGAUACGAUUAUUAGUCAGUAAUUAAAAUGCCUUAUUUUCACAAAUGUCACUUUAGUCAUUUUUUAUUUUUAAUUAACAAAUUUGUCUUUUGCACCUAAAACCUCUAUGUACAUGCAAAAAAAUCUUCAGUCACUCUUUACUGUCAGUUCUGAAAAAAGAUAAAAGGUUCAAAAAUUCAGUCAAUAUCCUAAUAUAUUUAGUUAACCUUCUUCAACCUGUUAAAAAAAUGAUU